rnacentral:rRNA from 1 species
UGCUUAAGAAAAGGAUUUAAGUCCAGCCUAAAGUCUUACAAGUUUCUCAAAACAUAAUUUUGGCUUUAGAGUAAUUCAAAUAAGGUACAGCCUAUUUGAAAAAGGAUACAACCUAAACUAAUGGGUAAUACUCUGAUUUUAUAACCAAGUGGGCCUAAGAGCAGCCACCUUUAAGAUAGCGUCAAAGCUUUAUUGUAACAUUUACUCAAUACCUUCUAAAUUUUAUAACCCUUUAAUUCUAUUAAGCAAUUCUAUAAUACUAUAGAAAAUACGAUGUUAAAACUAGUAACAAGAAGAAGACCUUCUCUUUAAUGCAAGUGUAAAUCAGAAAGGACCUCCCACUGAUAAUUAACCCCCAUGAAAUUAUAUUAGCAACCUCGCAAGAAAACUCUAAUAAACCCUGAGUUAACCUAACACAAGAACAUUACAAGAAAGAUUAAAAGAAAAAGAAGGAACUCGGCAAACAUUAACCUCGCCUGUUUACCAAAAACAUCGCCUCUUGAAUUCCUAUAAGAGGUCCAGCCUGCCCAGUGACUUUGUUCAACGGCCGCGGUAUCCUAACCGUGCGAAGGUAGCGUAAUCACUUGUCUUUUAAAUGAGGACUUGUAUGAAUGGCAUCACGAGGGUUAUACUGUCUCCUUUUUCUAAUCAGUGAAACUAAUCUUCCCGUGAAGAAGCGGGAAUAAAUAUAUAAGACGAGAAGACCCUAUGGAGCUUUAAACUUAAUAACAAAUACUAACCUUACUUCAACUUCCAGAACAUUAAUCUUAAUUUUAGUAUCCUGUUUAUUAGUUUUAGGUUGGGGUGACCGCGGAGUAAAAAUUAACCUCCAUAUUGAAUAGGACUUGUCCUUGAGCUAAGAACUACAGCCCUAAGCACCAAUAAAUUGACAUUAAUUGACCCAAUAUUUUGAUCAACGAACCAAGUUACCCUAGGGAUAACAGCGCAAUCCACUUCAAGAGCUCCUAUCGACAAGUGGGUUUACGACCUCGAUGUUGGAUCAGGGUAUCCCAGUGGUGCAGCCGCUACUAAAGGUUCGUUUGUUCAACGAUUAAAACCC